rnacentral:lncRNA from 1 species
GGCGCCAUGCGCGGCCUCUCCGCCACCGCCGCCGCCACCAAGUCCAGGUCAUGACGCCAUGCCCUGACCACCCGCCUCCGCCGCGCCGCCAUGGAAUUUCUCUGGGAAUUCAUGGCUUAGCAUAAGUGUUUACUAAUUUAAUUACUUAAGUAAUUAUAUAAUUAGUAAGUAUGUAUUGUAGUUGCAAGAAGCCAAGAUGGCAUGAACUGAACAAAAGUUUGUUUUGUAUAGGAAAGGGAUUAAUGGGCUGUUUGAUCUCUCUUUAGUAGUAAUUAAUUAACGGUGAUGCAAGUGUUGACGGCUAAAAAAAGUUUAUUUUUUUCGUGAUGCUGCUUGGUGUUCUUGGGAUUACUGUUUGUGUUGGUGACGCGAUCUUAUAUUAUAUUGGCAUGAAUCCAAGAACUGAAAAGUCUUGCUCUUUUUAGGUUAAAUUGGUUUGGUAGUCUAGAUUUUCUGUCCUAACUGCAUCAAAUUUGAUAUUCGUAUGUGUAAUAAUCAUGUAAAACUUGGGGAAACUGCAUCCCAUUCUAGCCCAAAUAGAAGGAUGACAAUAGCAGAAGGAAGAAUACAUUUCAUGGCCUGGAGAAAGUUGCAAAUAGGGUCAUAUUGAACAAUGAUCUGGUCAUAUAAUUGCAAUAACUAAAUGGUAAAAAGCUUAGUUCGAUGUGGAUUACUACAUGAACUAAGAGCAGUGAUUAAUUCUAAUGACCCAGCGGAAUCUUGUGUGAAGAAGAUACUCCUGUUUCCUUCAGGAUUGGCAACUGCAAUCUUCUGUCUUGAGCAUUGCCUUUCUAUUGGUCCAUGUUUGCUGCUUUGCAAUAAAGCUUGCCUCUCUCUAUUGGUCAUGUUAGCUGCUUUGCAAUAACUGGAGAUAAAUGAGGUGCACACACUUGUUGGUGAGGUUCUCUAACAAACUUGGCUCAAUCUGAAUGCUUGAAACAAGAAACAGUAAUUAAACCACUUCAGUUUGUGCAGCUGCAGC